rnacentral:rRNA from 1 species
UACGUAGGGGGCGAGCGUUGUCCGAAGUUACUGGGCGUAAAGCGCGCGUAGGCGGCUCUUUAAGUCUGGUGUGAAAGGUUCAGGGCUCAACCCGAACAGUGCACUGGAUACUGGAGAGCUUGAGUUAGGGAGAGGAGAGUGGAAUUCCUGGUGUAGCGGUGAAAUGCGCAGAUAUCAGGAAGAACACCCGUGGCGAAAGCGGCUCUCUGGAACGGUACUGACGCUGAGACGCGAAAGCGUGGGGAGCGAACAGG